CGGACGGGUGAGUAACACGUGGAUAACCUACCUAUAAGACUGGGAUAACUUCGGGAAACCGGAGCUAAUACCGGAUAAUAUAUUGAACCGCAUGGUUCAAUAGUGAAAGACGGUUUUGCUGUCACUUAUAGAUGGAUCCGCGCCGCAUUAGCUAGUUGGUAAGGUAACGGCUUACCAAUGCAACGAUGCGUAGCCUACCUGAGAGGGUGAUCGGCCACACUGGAACUGAGACACGGUCCAU
rnacentral:rRNA from 1 species